ensembl:snRNA Gm25007 predicted gene, 25007
AUUGCUUCUCGGCCUUUUGGCUAAGAUCAAGUGUAGUAUCUGUUCUUAUCAGUUUAAUAAAUAAAUAUUAAAAAAAACAUAAAUUGACAUAGGUAUUGAGUGUAGUAUAAACCUUCUAACUACUAAAUGGUAU